rnacentral:lncRNA from 1 species
AUUUUCUAAAACUUGUCAACUUUCUACUUCUCAUUUUGUUGUUAUUUACCUCAGGAAAUCCCAAUGAUGACAUAAUUUGAUGCUUCAUUUAUGUUUGUUUCUUCUGACUAUAAUACAUUUCUUUCCCUUCUGAUUAGUGAAGUUUCCUUUCUUGCCUCUUCCUCUAAUUUCAUACUUCUACCUCCUUGGUUUUCUCUUUAAUUCUCCUGUAUAAUCUAACACUUUUUUCUUUAUGCCCCCAGAACAUGCUAUACAAUCAGUCAAGCUUUUAAGAUUCUUUAAUUAAAUUUUUUUCAUUGAAAUAUACAUAUACAGAGAAAUGUGCACAAAUCAUGCAUGUGAUUGAAUGGAUUUAUUAUAAAGAAAAUAUGCACUAAGAGUCACUUUGUACACGUUUGAAAACAUUUUCCCGAAGUUAUGUACUAAUCUAGCUUCUAAAAUCAUGAGUUCAUUUUGUCUUUUAAAACUUGAUAAAAUUGAAACAUGUAUUAUAUGUAACUUUGUGUCUGUGUGAUUCAUUUAGCUAAAUAUGUAGAUGUGUUUUGUGUAAGUUAAUUAAGUUUUGAUUCUGUGGUAUGACCAUAAUUAUUUGGGUUGUUUAACAUUUGCUUGUUAUUACUGAUAUUCCUAUGAAUUUUCCUUAUCUUUUUUGCUGAAUGUUAGGUUAUACAUGUCACCCAUUAGUAGCUAAUGCUUGAGUUUUUCAAUAAAAUUUUAUAGGUUUAC